GCCUUCGUGGUGUAGUGAUCAGCACCCUCGACGAGUAACCGAGAGGUCCGUGGUUCGAUUCCCGGCGAAGGCG
rfam:Stegodyphus mimosarum contig33749, whole genome shotgun sequence.